CAGAGUUGGAAUCCUAUGGGAAUUGAAGUCCGAGCACAAUCCCAUGUUCGGCUAUAAGAAAUGGAAUGAUGAUUCUUCCGGCAACCAUGGCUGUUGUCCAUGGGGUUGCCAGCCUGCCGGUUAUCAUGGCCGUCGCCCUACACAGCAAGCUCAUUUUGCUGUUUUUUAAAUUCUUCUCAAAUGGCUGUUCCCAAAGUUCGUCAGGCAUUGCAAGAGCCGAGACAGGAGAUCACCCAGUGGGUAUCGUUUAAUUGAAGCAUGCUUUUUAGGCUUCACAUUGUCUGCAAACGAUCAUGUUUAUUACAGGUACUCGUACAUGAAUUAUUGGAUCGAAGGCAAAGAUCGGACCAAGUAGACGUCAAGAAGGAAAGAUCAAAUGGACACGUACUCGGAAGGACCCAAGCACAACCAAAGGAAGCUUAAUUGUAGUAUUAUAUGUAAUAGGGUGUGUGUUUGAGGUAGUCAAUGUUGUAACUCUUGCGGGUGUGUUUCUUGCAUGAUUUCUGAGUAAGAGUUAAGCAAAUGCAUGCAUAUUAGGACACAUGAGUUUAUUUGAUUGCACUAAAAUCACAAACUCAACUUUCAUGGUUUUCAAAGUUAAACUAAUUACGAGUUUGUCAAAUGAAUCCUAAACUCAAAUACGUUUUCAAAGGGACAAAGUUUUCAAACAUCUCGAUUUUAUAAAUAUUUUCAUACUUGGUCCCAUUUGUGUCAAAAUGAGCUUUUGUCUUAAAGUGUUAAUAAAGUCAAGAAUAUUUUAUAAAGGACAUAUUAAGCAUAUAAGAUAUCAAAACCCGUUUUCAAAUGUGUUUUUAUUAUCAAUAUAUCUUAUAAUCAAGGGGAAACUCACUUGUACAAGUUUUGAAUUUCAUUAGACUUAAUAUAUUUCUCAUAUUUUGUCCAAGAAAUGUUUUAAGUCAUCAAAAGACUUUUUGAUAAGGAAAAACCGAGCAAUCGUCAUUUAACAUAGUGUAGCCUCGGGUCCUGAACACAUUUCGGUAUUUCCGACAUAACUUUUUCUAAAAAGGUCCAAAUAGGACGAUCUUGUUGUCUAUGGAAAGUUAAGAAAAUUUUCCACAACUUUUGUAUUGAUGACUUUUUCUGAUUUAGGGUCAUAGUUGACCAAAAUAGGAGAAUGAUCGACCACUACAGGGGAAUGAAUGACAUUCUAGUAGCUAAUUUUUCCUCAUAGACCAGGUGAAUGGUCGACCACUACAGGGCAGUGGUCGACCAGUGGGUGAAUGGUCGACCACUAGCCUCGUGCCUAGCACUGUAACGACUAGAAACUAGCUAGUUUUGUUUGGGGAGUGCUCCCAAUGGCUAGUUAACAACUACUAGGGGCUUUGGGCUAUAUGUACAUGUUCCUAAACUUGUUUAGGAAGGUUUUUGAGUAUUAUUGAUCAUAUUGGUGAAAAAUAUAUUUGACUCCAAAAACCUAGCACUCAACACUUGCAUUUUAGUUAUUCAUCUCCAAGUGCUCAAUUUUCUCUUGCUUAGAAAAUCUUGUGUGAUUCAAUUGUUGAGAGAAUAGUGUGAGGUUUGAGUUGUAUUUCAUAUUUUCUCAUUUGAGGAGCAUUGAUUUGUAAUCUUCCAUUUCUUUGUUGUAAGGUUCUUUGUGAACCGUUGUUGGGUGAAGGUUCUUUGUGAACCGAAGAAGCUCUUUGUGAGCGUGUAGGGAUUUGUUCCCGCAUGUAGGCUUGUGUAUGCAAGUUGUAAGGCUUGCUCCGCGGAGGAAGGAGCAUUGAUAGUGGAUUGUGGAAUCCUUGGCUUGGUGCUAAAGCAUGGACGUAGGCUGGGUGUCGUACCACGUUAAAACCCGGUAUUCAACUUUUCUCUCCCUAGUCUUUAUUUUAAGUUGUGUGCAUGAUUUACUUUUGCUUAUAUUGUGAUAUAAUUACUUGAAAUUUUGCCAAGAGUUUUAUUUUGUAGAGAAUUUUUAAAUACACGAAAAGAGUCAUUCACCCUCGCCUCUGACUCUAUACUGCAUAUCCUCUGCGGGGUACACGUAUAUACUUCACGAGCUAUGACGUUUAACAUGCAGUAUUUUCCUAUCUUAUUGCUACAAGCUUAAAACGUUAUUUCUAAAUGAUUGGCUCUUCAACCUUGAGAGAAUUUGCUGUGGAUUUCAUCAAACUUGAAUGAUUUGAUGAAAGCAAUUUUAGGCGCUGGCAGAAAAAGAUGGACUUUCUUCUUGCGGGUCUCAAAGUGGUGUAUGUUACGACAUCCCCUAAACCUGAUGUGAAUGAGAAUGAGACUUUGGCUGAAGGACGUGCAAGGUUAAAAUAGGAAUAAGAUGACUAUAUAUGCAAAGGCCACAUUUGCAAUUCAAUGUCAGACAAUGUAUUUGAUCUGUAUCAUAAUAUGGCUACUGUAAAAGAGUUAUGGGAUGCACUUGAAGCUAAGUAUUUCACAAAUGAUGGGACUAGUAAGAAAUUUCUGACUGGAAAAUUUUUCAAUUAUACCAUGGUUGAUAAAUAGGUCUGUUGCAGAGUAGUUUCAUGAAAUUAUGCAUAUCCUUAAUCAGUUUAAUCAACAUAAUAUGAAAAUGAAUGAAUGCAUUUCUGUUUUGUCUAUUAUUGAUAAGUUACCUCCAUCCUAGAAAGAUGUUAGAAAAUCUUUGAAGUACAGGAAGAAUGAUAUGUCUCUUGAACAAUUGGGCCAGCAUUUUCAAGUUGAGGAAGUGUUUAGGCAGAACUAGAAAGGUGCAGAAGAGCAUACUUCCAAAGUGGAUAUGAUGGAAGAAGGAGGCAGUUCUAAACAACCCCAACAUCCCAAAAAAGGGAAUCUGAGAAAGAAGUUCAAUUCUGUCAAGAAUCAAAAUAAGAAAAAGAAAGGUUUAUGCUUCCAUUGUGGAAAACCUAGACACUACAAAAAUGAGUGUCGUCUUCUCAAGGAAAAGCAAGAUGAAACACACUCUAACAAGUUUGUGGCUAUGAUUUCUGAAAUCAAUGCCAUUGAAGAUGACUAUGCAUGGUGGAUUGACUAAGAUGCAAAAAGACAUGUUUGCAAAGACAAAAGUUCAUUCUCAAAAUAUGAAUCAGUGGAAAAUGGCAAUGUUCUCUACAUGGGAAAUUCUUCCACUACUGUAGUCAAAGGCAAAGGAGAUGUCACUUUUGAAUUUACUUCGGGAAAAAAAUUGACUCUUACUGAUGUAUACCAUGUACAAAAAAUUAGGAAGAAUCUAGUUUCUAGAAGCCUACUUAAUAAGUUUGGCUUUAAGUUAGUGUUUGAAUCUAACAAAUUUGUACUCUCCAAGGGUGGAGUCUUUGUGGGAAAAGGAUAUAUGUAUGAGGGUAUGUUUAAGCUUAAUAUCAAUAAAGUGAAUGUUUCUGUUUA